rnacentral:tRNA from 1 species
GCACCGAUAGCUCAGUUGGUAGAGCAGCUGACUCUUAAUCAGCGGGUCCUAGGUUCGAGCCCUAGUCGGUGCA